rnacentral:rRNA from 14 species
UGACGCCUGCCCGGUGCCUGAAGGUUAAAAGGAGGGGUGCAAGCUCCGAAUUGAAGCCCAGGUAAACGGCGGCCGUAACAAUAACGGUCCUAAGGUAGCGAAAUUCCUUGUCGGGUAAGUUCCGACCUGCACGAAUGGUGCAACGAUCUGGGUACUGUCUCAACCAUGAGCUCGGUGAAAUUGUAGUUCCGGUGAAGAUGCCGGAUACCCGCAACGGGACGGAAAGACCCCGUGAACCUUUACUAUAGCUUCACAGUGAACUUUGAGCAUGUUUGUGUAGGAUAGCUGGGAGGCUUUGAAGUGGGAACGCCAGUUCUCAUGGAGCCAACCUUGAAAUACCAGCCUGACAUGUUUGAGGUUCUAACUUGGUCCCCUUAUCGGGGAUGAGGACACUGUGUGGUGGGUAGUUUGACUGGGGCGGUCUCCUCCCAAAGCGUAACGGAGGAGCACAAAGGUGGGCUAAGCAUGGUCGGACAUCAUGCGGUUAGUGUAAUGGCACAAGCCCGCUUAACUGCGAGACAGACACGUCGAGCAGGUACGAAAGUAGGUCAUAGUGAUCCGGUGGUUCUGUAUGGAAGGGCCAUCGCUCAACGGAUAAAAGGUACUCCGGGGAUAACAGGCUGAUACCGCCCAAGAGUUCACAUCGACGGCGGUGUUUGGCACCUCGAUGUCGGCUCGUCACAUCCUGGGGCUGAAGCCGGUCCCAAGGGUAUGGCUGUUCGCCAUUUAAAGUGGUACGCGAGCUGGGUUUAGAACGUCGUGAGACAGUUCGGUCCCUAUCUGCCGUGGACGUUGGAGAUUUGAGGAAAGCUGCUCCUAGUACGAGAGGACCGGAGUGGACGAACCUCUGGUGUUCGGGUUGUGACGCCAGUCGCAUUGCCCGGUAGCUAUGUUCGGACAGGAUAACCGCUGAAAGCAUCUAAGCGGGAAGCCCCUUCCAAGAUGAGAUCUCCCUGGACCCUCGAGGUCCCUGAAGAGCCGUUCAAGACCAGGACGUUGAUAGGUCGGGUGUGUAAGCGCUGCGAGGCGUUGAGCUAACCGAUACUAAUUGCUCGUGCG